rnacentral:rRNA from 1 species
AUUGAACGCUGGCGGCAUGCCUUACACAUGCAAGUCGAACGGCAGCACGGGGGCAACCCUGGUGGCGAGUGGCGAACGGGUGAGUAACAUAUCGGAACAUACCCUAGAGUGGGGGAUAACGUAGCGAAAGUUACGCUAAUACCGCAUACGAUCUAAGGAUGAAAGUGGGGGGAUCUUCGGACCUCAUGCUCAUGGAGUGGCCGAUAUCUGAUUAGCUAGUUGGUGAGGUAAAGGCUCACCAAGGCGACGAUCAGUAGCUGGUUUGAGAGAACGACCAGCCACACUGGAACUGAGACACGGUCCAGACUCCUACGGAGGCAGCAGUGGGGAAUUUUGGGACAAUGGGGGCAACCCUGAUCCAGCAAUGCCGCGUGAGCGAAGAAGCCCUUUGGGGUGUAAAGGCUCUGUCAGCUGGACGAAUAAAUGACGGUACCAGCAGAGGAGACAUCGGCUAACUACGUGCCAGCAGCCGCGGUAAU